rnacentral:rRNA from 1 species
AUUGAACGCUGGCGGCAUGCUUUACACAUGCAAGUCGAACGGCAGCGCGGGCUUCGGCCUGGCGGCGAGUGGCGAACGGGUGAGUAAUACAUCGGAACGUGCCCAGUAGUGGGGGAUAGCUCGGCGAAAGCCGGAUUAAUACCGCAUACGACCUGAGGGUGAAAGCGGGGGAUCUUCGGACCUCGCGCUAUUGGAGCGGCCGAUGGCAGAUUAGCUAGUUGGUGGGGUAAAGGCCUACCAAGGCGACGAUCUGUUGCUGGUCUGAGAGGACGACCAGCCACACUGGGACUGAGACACGGCCCAGACUCCUACGGGAGGCAGCAGUGGGGAAUUUUGGACAAUGGGCGAAAGCCUGAUCCAGCAAUGCCGCGUGUGUGAUGAAGGCCUUCGGGUUGUAAAGCACUUUUGGCGGGAACGAAAAGGACUGUGCCAAUACCACGGUUCGAUGACGGUACCCGCAGAAUAAGCACCGGCUAACUACGUG